CAGAGAUCUGACAGCUGCCCGGCAAAUAUGUUAAAUAUUGGCAGGACUAUGUCCAAUGCACGCAGUGGUUUUUGAUCGGCCAAUUCCCAGCAUUGCCUGCCCGGACCUGUCGGCUGGAACAACCAGCUGCAGUCAGAUUUGAGAAAUAGAUGUGUAGGCCAAGAAUCACAUCUUAUCUCAAGCCCUACUCUAGAUAACCAACCGGUUGAAAGAUGUGGGAGGAUCAGUGUCAACGCUUGUGUAGACUUAAAAGUAAAGCACCAAAGACAAGACUAAAAAAGGGAAAUAAGGGUACUUUCACACUUGCGUUGUUGAAAUCCGAAUGCAAACGGAUAGCAUUUGUAGACAAAUGAAUUGCAAUACCGGAUCCGUCUCUCUGGUGAUCUCCUAUAGCUAUAAAAAAGGUACAGGAAGCAAUAAACACGUAUUGUUAAGUUUGCAUAGAGAUGUACCAUCUCAGAACUAAACUUCAAAGGAGGAUUACAGGUAUGAAUAUUGUCUAACGGUUUCCUACUGGGCAUCGAUCUCAGGUUUCCACCGUGGAGACCAUUUUGCCAGUUGAACCUGAAUACAACAGAACACAGCCUAUCAAUUUACUAAGAGCUAGGAUCAUCACUAAGGCAUGAGGCAAGGAGGCCCAGCUAGCAAAAUAUGCAACUUCAAC